GGGUGAUUAGCUCAGUUGGUAGAGCAGCUGACUCUUAAUCAGCGGGUCGAAGGUUCGAGCCCUUCAUCACCCACCA
rnacentral:tRNA from 2 species